GACGAACGCUGGCGGCGUGCUUAACACAUGCAAGUCGAACGAAGAGCGAUGGAAGCUUGCUUCUAUCAAUCUUAGUGGCGAACGGGUGAGUAACGCGUAAUCAACCUGCCCUUCAGAGGGGGACAACAGUUGGAAACGACUGCUAAUACCGCAUACGAUCUAAUCUCGGCAUCGAGGAUAGAUGAAAGGUGGCCUCUACAUGUAAGCUAUCACUGAAGGAGGGGAUUGCGUCUGAUUAGCUAGUUGGAGGGGUAACGGCCCACCAAGGCGAUGAUCAGUAGCCGGUCUGAGAGGAUGAACGGCCACAUUGGGGCUGAGACACGGCCCAGACUCCUACGGGAGGCAGCAGUGGGGAAUCUUCCGCAAUGGACGAAAGUCUGACGGAGCAACGCCGCGUGAGUGAUGACGGCCUUCGGGUUGUAAAGCUCUGUUAAUCGGGACGAAAGGCCUUCUUGCGAAUAGUGAGAAGGAUGAC
rnacentral:rRNA from 1 species